CCUACGGGUGGCAGCAGUGAGGAAUAUUGGUCAAUGGACGCAAGUCUGAACCAGCCAUGCCGCGUGCAGGAAGACGGCUCUAUGAGUUGUAAACUACUUUUGUACGAGGGUAAACGCAGAUACGCGUAUCUGUCUGAAAUUAUCGUACGAAUAAGGAUCGGAUAACUCCGUGCCAGCAGCCGCGGUAAUACGGAGGAUGCGAGCGUUAUCCGGAUUUAUUGGGUUUACAGGGUGCGUAGACGGAUUUUUAAGUCCGCGGUAAAAUGUCCGGGCUCAACCCGGGCCGGCCGUUGAAACUGGGGAUCUUGAGUGGGCGAGAAGUAUGCGGAAUGCGUGGUGUAGCGGUGAAAUGCAUAGAUAGAACGAAGAACUCCGAUUGCGAAGGCAGCAUACCGGAGCCCGACUGACGCUGAGGCACGAAAGCGUGGGGAUCGAACAGGAUUAGAUACCCCGGUAGUC
rnacentral:rRNA from 1 species